CAGGAAGUGAAGGAACAGAUAAACAGAUAUGUAAACAAUGUGUUCAGGGCUGUAGGAGCCAUGCUCCAGUGUAAAAGAUACCUCAAACCACCUUGGGAACAUAGACUUGGCUACUAAAGGUAUAUACAUCUAAAUGAAGAUUU